ACAUGGCCCUGUUCAGCUUCUGGUCCGGUACUCCCUCCAAUAACCCUAGUUUGUCUUUUUCUCUUCAUUUUUACUGAUUUCUAUCCCACCCGUGCAUUUGUUUUGAGAUUUCAGCUCUUGUGACAUCAUCUCUGCAAAUUAUGCAUUGAGAUUUUUGAGAGAUUUCUUGAAAUUUCUGUUUAAUGAGUGGUGUUAAUGUAACAUAUAGAUUUUAAUAUCUGGAAAACUUCAUUUUUUAUCAUCCACUACUUUCUCUUAAUUAAUUUAACAUCAUUUGCCUUUCUUACUGGUCAUAGUAUAAUUCUGAGGUAAUAAGGUGGCAUUUUUAAUUUAACUAUUCAUAGAACUUCUGGGAGAAAUUUUAUGUCUAGUUCAGAAGGCAUGGCAGCAUUUUAAAUUUGAUUGUGGAGUAUUCUAACCAAAUCUUCAAGAGCCGUAACUCGAGGUGAAACCUGCCAACACUUUCUUUAGCUUGCCCAUGGUGAUGUGAAGAUGAGAAGAAAUAGCAAGGCCCAACCAGUUCUUCAUCUGGAGACAGUUCAACGUUCUGCAAACCAGAUCUUCAGGAAUUUUACUGGGAUAAUUAUCCAAAUAAAUUGCAAGCAUUCUAUCCAAAUGGAGCUCUUUCUGAGAUGAAGAGAAUUCUCAAUGUCAAGAUUUGAACAAGAAGAGAAUGGAAUACACAAUAUGGACAUCCAUAAAAAUUCAUCAGAGAGCAUUUUACUACUGAGCUGCAAAGGGAAAAACUUAAAAUGGAUAUGAAAAGUGAAGAAAGUGAUCAUAGGAGAAAACCAUUUCAGGUGUCUGAUGAUUUGUGAGCCUCAAGUGACUACUCUGUGGAAUCAUCUGUCCUUGCCUUUGAAUUAGCUUUCCCUAGGCCAUGAGUCAACAUUAGUAGUUUAUACAUCCAAAUUGAUGACAAGAGCACCUCAAAGGCAGCAGCCUCAAGGAGCAGCCAUGGCCCCAGACUUGUCGCACGGAUGCAGAAAACUUAAUGGAGGAGGCUGAGGUCAGAAUGGGAAGAGUUUUUAAAAAAUAAAAAGGGGAGCUAAUAUGUG
rnacentral:lncRNA from 1 species